AAAUUGAAGAGUUUGAUCAUGGCUCAGAUUGAACGCUGGCGGCAGGCCUAACACAUGCAAGUCGAACGGUAACAGGAAGCAGCUUGCUGUUUCGCUGACGAGUGGCGGACGGGUGAGUAAUGUCUGGGAAACUGCCUGAUGGAGGGGGAUAACUACUGGAAACGGUAGCUAAUACCGCAUAACGUCGCAAGACCAAAGAGGGGGACCUUCGGGCCUCUUGCCAUCGGAUGUGCCCAGAUGGGAUUAGCUUGUUG
rnacentral:rRNA from 1 species